rnacentral:siRNA from 1 species
UCAUUCACCUGCAACACGAUG